rnacentral:piRNA from 1 species
UGUAUUCCUGUACAUAAGCAUUGCAAUU